rnacentral:rRNA from 1 species
CCUACGGGAGGCAGCAGUGAGGAAUAUUGGUCAAUGGGCGCGAGCCUGAACCAGCCAAGUAGCGUGAAGGAUGACUGCCCUACGGGUUGUAAACUUCUUUUAUAAAGGAAUAAGGUGAGGCACGUGUGCCUUUUUGUAGGGACUUUAUGAAAAAGGAUCGGCUAACUCCGUUCCAGCAGCCGCGGUAAUACGGAGGAGACGAGCGUUAUCCGGAUUUAUUGGGUUUAAAGGGAGCGUAGAUGGGUUGUUAAGUCAGUUGUGAAAGUUUGCGGCUCAACCGUAAAAUUGCAAUUGAUACUGGCAGCCUUGAGUACAGUUGAGGUAGGCGGAAUUCGUGGUGUAGCGGUGAAAUGCUUAGAUAUCACGAAGAACUCCGAUUGCGAAGGCAGCUUACUAAACUGCCACUGACAUUGAUGCUCGAAAGUGUGGGUAUCAAACAGGAUUAGAUACCCCUGUAGUC